UACGGAGGGUGCAAGCGUUGUCCGGAAUCACUGGGCGUAAAGGGCGCGUAGGCGGCCUGGUAAGUAGGGGGGUGAAAUCCUGCGGCUUAACCGCAGGGCUGCCUUCUAAACUGUCAGGCUUGAGCACGGUAGAGGCAGAUGGAAUUCCCGGUGUAGCGGUGGAAUGCGUAGAGAUCGGGAAGAACAUCAGUGGCGAAGGCGGUCUGCUGGGCCGUUGCUGACGCUGAGGCGCGACAGCGUGGGGGAGCAAACAGG
rnacentral:rRNA from 1 species